UAAGGUAAGCCAAAGAGAGAUUUCUAAUCUAUUCUUAAGCAGUGCAAUUCUGUUUUACUUUUC
rnacentral:tRNA from 1 species